rnacentral:rRNA from 1 species
GAUGAACGCUGGCGGCGUGCCUAAUACAUGCAAGUCGAGCGAACGGACGAGAAGCUUGCUUCUCUGAUGUUAGCGGCGGACGGGUGAGUAACACGUGGAUAACCUACCUAUAAGACUGGGAUAACUUCGGGAAACCGGAGCUAAUACCGGAUAAUAUUUUGAACCGCAUGGUUCAAAAGUGAAAGACGGUCUUGCUGUCACUUAUAGAUGGAUCCGCGCUGCAUUAGCUAGUUGGUAAGGUAACGGCUUACCAAGGCAACGAUGCAUAGCCGACCUGAGAGGGUGAUCGACCACACUGGAACUGAGACACGGUCCAGACUCCUACGGGAGGCAGCAGUAGGGAAUCUUCCGCAAUGGGCGAAAGCCUGACGGAGCAACGCCGCGUGAGUGAUGAAGGUCUUCGGAUCGUAAAACUCUGUUAUUAGGGAAGAACAUAUGUGUAAGUAACUGUGCACAUCUUGACGGUACCUAAUCAGAAAGCCACGGCUAACUACGUGCCAGCAGCCGCGGUAAUACGUAGGUGGCAAGCGUUAUCCGGAAUUAUUGGGCGUAAAGCGCGCGUAGGCGGUUUUUUAAGUCUGAUGUGAAAGCCCACGGCUCAACCGUGGAGGGUCAUUGGAAACUGGAAAACUUGAGUGCAGAAGAGGAAAGUGGAAUUCCAUGUGUAGCGGUGAAAUGCGCAGAGAUAUGGAGGAACACCAGUGGCGAAGGCGACUUUCUGGUCUGUAACUGACGCUGAUGUGCGAAAGCGUGGGGAUCAAACAGGAUUAGAUACCCUGGUAGUCCACGCCGUAAACGAUGAGUGCUAAGUGUUAGGGGGUUUCCGCCCCUUAGUGCUGCAGCUAACGCAUUAAGCACUCCGCCUGGGGAGUACGACCGCAAGGUUGAAACUCAAAGGAAUUGACGGGGACCCGCACAAGCGGUGGAGCAUGUGGUUUAAUUCGAAGCAACGCGAAGAACCUUACCAAAUCUUGACAUCCUUUGACAACUCUAGAGAUAGAGCCUUCCCCUUCGGGGGACAAAGUGACAGGUGGUGCAUGGUUGUCGUCAGCUCGUGUCGUGAGAUGUUGGGUUAAGUCCCGCAACGAGCGCAACCCUUAAGCUUAGUUGCCAUCAUUAAGUUGGGCACUCUAAGUUGACUGCCGGUGACAAACCGGAGGAAGGUGGGGAUGACGUCAAAUCAUCAUGCCCCUUAUGAUUUGGGCUACACACGUGCUACAAUGGACAAUACAAAGGGCAGCGAAACCGCGAGGUCAAGCAAAUCCCAUAAAGUUGUUCUCAGUUCGGAUUGUAGUCUGCAACUCGACUACAUGAAGCUGGAAUCGCUAGUAAUCGUAGAUCAGCAUGCUACGGUGAAUACGUUCCCAGGUCU